rnacentral:rRNA from 1 species
GGUUGAUCCUGCCAGUAGUCAUAUGCUUGUCUCAAAGAUUAAGCCAUGCAUGUCUCAGUGUAAACUUUUAAACAGUGAAACUGCGAAUGGCUCAUUAAAACAGUUAUAGUUUAUUUGAUACUCAUUUUUACAUGGAUAACCGUGGGAAUUCUAGGGCUAAUACAUGCGUACCCGCAAGGGUUGUGUUUAUUAGAUUAAAACCAUCACUGCAGCAAUGCAGUCUUGUUGGAAUAAUAAUAACCGAUCGAAUCGCACGCUUUAUGUGGCGAUAAAUCAUUCAAGUUUCUGACCU